rnacentral:rRNA from 1 species
CCUACGGGAGGCAGCAGUGGGGAAUAUUGCACAAUGGGGGAAACCCUGAUGCAGCGACGCCGCGUGAGUGAAGAAGGAUUUCUGUAUGUUAAACUCCAUCUGCAGGGAAGAAAAAGACGGUACCUGACUAAGAAGCUCGGUCUAACUUCGAGACAGCAGCCGCGGUAAUACGUAGGGGGCCGGCGUUAUCCGGAUUUACUGGGUGUAAAGGGAGCGUAGACGGCAAGACAAGCGAGAAGUGAAAGCCCGGGGCUCAACCAUGGGACUGCUUUUGAAACUGGCGGGCUGGAGUGCACGAGAGGUAUGCGGAAUUCCUGGUGUAGCGGUGAAAUGCGUAGAUAUUAGGAAGAACACCAGUGGCGAAGGCAGCAUACGGGACUGUAACUGACGUUGAGGCUCGAAGGCGUGGGGAGCGAACAGGAUUAGAUACCCUUGUAGUC